rnacentral:tRNA from 1 species
GUCGGGUUAGCAGACAUAAUGCAUACGGCUUAGGUCCGUAAGGUGCGGCUUAAAGUGCCGUGCCCGA